AAGUGGUUGGACUAGAUGACACCAGCGAGAAUCGAUAUUGGCGAAAAAUUAAAGGGAGCAUUUCCGAAUGAUUGCAGUAAAGUUAUCAAGGACGCUAAACAAUGGGCACAAGAGGUCAAAAAAUUGCGAGGAAACGUGGUAAAAAUUGGGUGAAUAAGUAUUGACACUGGAAAGAUUAGGAACGAUAUAGAAUCAACAUCUCGCCAUUAUUGGGAACAUUUGUAUUCGAAUUUGCGCGUCGAGGCUCCCUCAAGAUUAAUAGCAGUCAUUAAUUUUCAUUCCUUUGCUGCAAAGGAUUUAGAAAGGAAGUCACAUAACGUUGAAGAAGUUGGAUUUGCCAAUGAAAUUCAUAAACGGAUUCAAAACUAAUAUGCUGGGAUUGGUAACAAAAUGAAAGCUGU